UUGCAGGUUAAGUUACGGUGUAGCUGUGCAGUGCUACCCUGUCGUUCCCCCUGCACAUAUAAAAUCUGUUUCCUUCUAUCCUUGUCUGUCUAAAUCUCAAGACUGCCAGGGACGCUGGGUUACAGACAU